rnacentral:lncRNA from 1 species
CUCCUCCAUAGGUACUGCUCCUCCGUAAAUACUGCCUCCAUCGGUAUUGCUCCUCAUAGGUACUUCCAUAGAACUCUCCUCCAUCUACGCUCUCUUUAAAUUACUGCUCCUCCAUAGGUACUGCUCCUUCCAUAGAUACUGCUCCUCCAUAGGUACUGCUCCUCCCUCCAUAGGUACUGCUCCUCCAUCGUUACUGCUCCUCCAUAGUUACUGCUCCUCCUCUAGGUACUGUCCUCCCUCCAUAGGGUACCUCUCCACCAUAGUACUGCUCCUCAUAGGUUACUGCUCCUCCUCCAUUAGGUACUGCUCCUCCUCAUAGUUACUGCUCCCUCCACAUAGUUUAUGCUCCCAUAGGACUGCUCCUCCUCCAUAGGGUACCGCUUCCCCAUAGUACUGCUCCUCCAUAGGUUACUGCUCCCUCCAUAGGUACUGCUCCUCCCUCCAUAGGUACCGCUCCUCUCCAUAGUUACUGCUCCUCCAGGUUACUGCUCCUCCAUAGUUACUGCUCCUCCAUAGUUACUGCUCAUCCGCUCCAUAGGGUACCCGCUCCUCCUAGGUACUGCUCCUCCCUAGGUACUGCUCCCUCCCUCC